CGAGCUGGUGGGGGAACUCCCAGCUUUUAUUUUUCACGAGUAGGUGGCGCUGCGGUAGUUGUUUAGUACGUAUUCUCCUGAAAAGGUUCUUGUCUCGGACUGGUGGCUCAGCCAGCGGGUGGGCCGUUUCACGGCGGUGGGGUACCACCGUAAAAUAAAACAAGAAGGCAUAAAGCGGUUCCGUUAUGAUAAUUACAAAUAUAUUUUUAGAAAAGCUUGUGACAUGCAAAUAUCGAACAGUUCUGGUGUUAAAUACACUGUCAAACCUUGAUUAUUCUUUUGGAUGCAUCAAACUGUACAAUUAGGGCACCUCUACACUAACGAUCAACCAGAGAACUGCAACAGAAAACAAUAAGAUUUAUGUGCUGAUGCUCUCGGAAGGAACACCAUAAGAAAAUGCAGUCAACUGAGAUGUGCAAUAUGGUAACAAUACGACCAUUGCAAAUAAGCCGGAUUUCGGAGGCACGGAGGAAAUUCUGAAUGAAAUUUACUAUCAGAAAAUAUCAAUCAGAUUUAAAUCUGGUCAAAUAUUUCAUGUCUCAUAAAACAGAACACAGGUUUGUUCUUGGUUCAGAUAUGAAUCAUGUUGAGAUCCUGAACUGGACAACAUUUGUGAAUAGAUUUAGAAUAAUAUUAAAAUUUGCUCUGAUGUUGAGUUUAAAAAGG